ACGCUCGACACCUACGGGAGGCAGCAGUGAGGAAUAUUGGUCAAUGGGCGCUAGCCUGAACCAGCCAAGUAGCGUGAAGGAUGAAGGCUCUAUGGGUCGUAAACUUCUUUUAUAUAAGAAUAAAGUGCAGUAUGUAUACUGUUUUGUAUGUAUUAUAUGAAUAAGGAUCGGCUAACUCCGUGCCAGCAGCUGCGGUAAUCUGAGCGGGCUGGCAAGGC
rnacentral:rRNA from 1 species